AGCGAACGCUGGCGGCAGGCCUAACACAUGCAAGUCGAACGAACUCUUCGGAGUUAGUGGCGGACGGGUGAGUAACACGUGGGAACGUGCCUUUAGGUUCGGAAUAACUCAGGGAAACUUGUGCUAGUACCGAAUGUGCCCUUCGGGGGAAAGAUUUAUCGCCUUUAGAGCGGCCCGCGUCUGAUUAGCUAGUUGGUGAGGUAAAGGCUCACCAAGGCGACGAUCAGUAGCUGGUCUGAGAGGAUGAUCAGCCACAUUGGGACUGAGACACGGCCCAAACUCCUACGGGAGGCAGCAGUGGGGAACCUUGCGCAAUGGGCGAAAGCCUGACGCAGCCAUGCCGCGUGAAUGAUGAAGGUCUUAGGAUUGUAAAAUUCUUUCACCGGGGACGAUAAUGACGGUACCCGGAGAAGAAGCCCCGGCUAACUUCGUGCCAGCAGCCGCCGUAA
rnacentral:rRNA from 1 species